rnacentral:rRNA from 1 species
GACGAACGCUGGCGGCGUGCCUAAUACAUGCAAGUUGAGCGAUGAAGCUUGGUGCUUGCACCAAUUUGAAGAGCAGCGAACGGGUGAGUAACGCGUGGGGAAUCUGCCUUUGAGCGGGGGACAACAUUUGGAAACGAAUGCUAAUACCGCAUAACAACUUUAAACAUAAGUUUUAAGUUUGAAAGAUGCAAUUGCAUCACUCAAAGAUGAUCCCGCGUUGUAUUAGCUAGUUGGUGAGGUAAAGGCUCACCAGGGCGAUGAUACAUAGCCGACCUGAGAGGGUGAUCGGCCGCAUUGGGACUGAGACACGGCCCAAACUCCUACGGGAGGCAGCAGUAGGGAAUCUUCGGCAAUGGACGAAAGUCUGACCGAGCAACGCCGCGUGAGUGAAGAAGGUUUUCGGAUCGUAAAACUCUGUUGGUAGAGAAGAACGUUGGUGAGAGUGGAAAGCUCAUCAAGUGACGGUAACUACCCAGAAAGGGACGGCUAACUACGUG